rnacentral:rRNA from 1 species
UACGUAGGGGGCGAGCGUUAUCCGGAAUUAUUGGGCGUAAAGAGUACGUAGGUGGUUUGGAAAGCGUGUGGUGAAAUUGCGGGGCUUAACCCCGUCCAGCCAUGCGAACUUUCAGACUUGAGUGCAGGAGAGGGAAGUGGAAUUCCUAGUGUAGCGGUGAAAUGCGUAGAUAUUAGGAGGAACAUCAGUGGCGAAGGCGACUUCCUGGACUGUAACUGACACUGAGGUACGAAAGCGUGGGUAGCAAACAGGAUUAGAUACCCUGGUAGUCCACGCCGUAAACGAUGAGCACUAGGUGUCGGGGUCGAAAGACUUCGGUGCCGCAGUUAACGCAUUAAGUGCUCCGCCUGGGGAGUACGUGCGCAAGCAUGAAACUCAAAGGAAUUGACGGGGACCCGCACAAGCAGCGGAGCAUGUGGUUUAAUUCGAAGCAACGCGAAGAACCUUACCAGGGCUUGACAUCCCUCUGACCGACCGGUAACGCGGUCUUCUCUUCGGAGCAGAGGUGACAGGUGGUGCAUGGUU